CGAUGGCAGAUGAUCGCUCCGAAGAGAUUCGGAGAGGAAAGUCCGAACACCAUACGGCAGCAUGCCGCGUAAAACGCGCGGGCGCCGCAGUUGUAAAAUUGCGGUGACGGAAAGUGUCACAGAAAACACACCGCCGGUUCUUUGGCAACGAAGGAGAGGCAAGGUUGAAAAGGCGAGGUAAGAGCUCACCGCUCGCGGAGUAAUCCUCGAGGCACGAAAAACCCCAUGUGGUGCAAGACAGAACAGAGGCAGGGCAGCCGGUCCGUUGACCCUCGGGUAUCGUCGCAUCACGAGUCCGCUUCGGCGGGGUCGGGCGGCUCACGCAAGUGGGCUGAGAUAAAUGAUCAUCAGGGUUGAGCAAUCAGCCGCACAGAAUUCGGCUUAUCGCCAUCGAAAU
rnacentral:RNase_P_RNA from 1 species